GUGGGGAAUUUUGGACAAUGGGGGCAACCCUGAUCCAGCCAUGCCGCGUGUGUGAAGAAGGCCUUUUGGUUGUAAAGCACUUUAAGCGAGGAGGAGGCUACCGAGAUUAAUACUCUUGGAUAGUGGACGUUACUCGCAGAAUAAGCACCGGCUAACUCUGUGCCAGCAGCCGCGGUAAUACAGAGGGUGCAAGCGUUAAUCGGAUUUACUGGGCGUAAAGCGCGCGUAGGUGGCCAAUUAAGUCAAAUGUGAAAUCCCCGAGCUUAACUUGGGAAUUGCAUUCAAUACUGGGAAGAUAGAGUAUGGGAGAGGAUGGUAGAAUUCCAGGUGUAGCGGUGAAAUGCGUAGAGAUCUGGAGGAAUACCGAUGGCGAAGGCAGCCAUCUGGCCUAAUACUGACGCUGAGGCACGAAAGCAUGGGGAGCAAACAGGAUUAGAUACCCCGGUAGUCC
rnacentral:rRNA from 1 species